UUAAAUGGAACACUCCAAUGCGUGAUUCGACCUUUCCCAGCUCACCAGCUUCAAUGCCAUGCGCAGGUACAUAGGUUUCCAGCACCACAAGCUGCGAUAAAUCUGGUGUGAAUCACGCCGCUGUACCCCCCUUGCCAGAUCAUAGCAUACGCAUAUGCUCUGUAUUCUUGCAUCCAAUUUAACAUCAGAUCGCACUGCACAAAGACACCUGAUAGCUACUCAGCUAUCAACUGAGUACCUACUCACUGAUACUACUCAGUUAUCGGUGAGUAGCUACUCAGUGCAACUACUCAGCUAUCAGUGAGUAGCCACUCACCGAUACUACUCGGCAGACGUCACUGAUAGCUACUCAGCACACCACUUUAGGAUGAAGACACUUCCGAGAUCCAUGACGUCAGACACGAGCAAAAUGCGCUAGCAACUGCUCAUUCACACUUUAAUUCAGCAAUCAGCACAAGCAUACCCUUGCACGAUCGAGCCACAGCACAAGCUCUUCUUUUUAACACCGAAAAAGCUGCUGCAGAAACUACAUCAAGUAAAGAUGGGCAAACGAUAACGAAAUAAUAAAAAUAUAACUGGCUCUUCACUAGAGUUCUUGAGGCCCUUGCAUACCCACAAACACAUACACACAUACACCGACAGGUUUUAAGCUCUUAGGAUUAUAAUUAUAAAAGAAAUACAGGGAAACACGAGGGUUUAGACAGCAGCAGGUGGUGUGCUUUGGAGGGAG